rnacentral:rRNA from 1 species
AUUGAACGCUGGCGGCAUGCUUUACACAUGCACGUCGAACGGUAACAGGGUGCUUGCACCGCUGACGAGUGGCGAACGGGUGAGUAAUGCGUCGGAACGUGCCGAGUAGUGGGGGAUAACGCAGCGAAAGUUGUGCUAAUACCGCAUACGUACUGAGGUAGAAAGUGGGGGACCUUCGGGCCGCACGAUGUUCCAGCGGCCCACGUCUGAUUAGCUAGUAGGUGAGGUAAAGGCUCACCUAGGCGACGAUCAGUAGCGGGUCUGAGAGGAUGAUCCGCCACACUGGGACUGAGACACGGCCCAGACUCCUACGGGAGGCAGCAGUGGGGAAUUUUGGACAAUGGGCGAAAGCCUGAUCCAGCCAUGCCGCGUGUCUGAAGAAGGCCUUCGGGUUGUAAAGGACUUCUGUCAGGGAGGAAAUCCCUAGUGCUAAUAACACUGGGGGAUGACAGUACCUGAAGAAUAAGCACCGGCUAACUACGUGCCAGCCGCCGCAGUAA